GUGGAGAGCAGAUGCGUCCGAAUACCACGCAGCAUCUUCAGCGGCAGUGACGUCACCAGCGAGGCUCGGUCACGGCUCGGUUCGCCCGGUUCACCUGAUGCGCGGUACACCUUCAAACAGGUGAAGUGAAUCGACUAUUUUCGCCUUACCCUCGUCAGUCAGUUAAUCAACUAAGGAGAAUUGGGCAUUUCACUCCAUCCCAAACUCCUAGAAUGAAGAAAAAGUGUGUGUCAUACACACACAGAUUUUUUUUGCCUAGCCAGGCGGAAAGAGUCAGUAAUACCCAAGGUGCCUGAAAAAUUUCAACUGGAAAGAGCAGGACUAGGAGAAAAGAAAAUAAUUUUCUCUGACAGAUACUGUUCUUCAUUAGAAUUUAGUCAAGAGCUCAUGCGCCAGUUUCCAAAACUGAGUGAGGCUGGUGGUUUUCAGCUUUUGAAGAGACAAGGCUGCACCAGGACAAAAAUUCUGGAACCCAUCCCAUGUCCAGAUGAAGGCUACACUCCUGAGUAUCUGUGCUCUGAUGCAGUCAGAAUAGGAGCUGCAACAAUUUAUAUAAGACCACUGCAAAAAGAUCUGAAUACAGAAGUUGCUGUAAGACAAGCGUCUGGAAAUGGGCCACCAGUGGUCUGUUUGUAUUGUAGCAAGGCUUUUCCAUUACCGGAGAUACAAGAGCAUGUUGAUUGCUGUGAACUGAACAGAACUAACAGUCCCCAACAAGAAAAUAGCAACAUGCAGCAACAGUUUACUUGCAGCAGUACACCAGCAAAUAGUCCUAACACCCUGCAUUAUGAAAGCAGCAGCCGAGCAGGAUGCAGCAACAGCAUUCCCAUUCUUGAAAGCAGCAGAGAAGGGAGCAUUCUUUCUGGCAGAGAGCAGGAGCAUCAAGAGACCAGUGGAUUUGAGAUUUGUGCUGAAGUGGAAGACUGGAAAAUAGAGACUGAUGAACAGCAGGCAGCAUACAGGUUUCGAAGAAAUUUGUUGUAUAGCGCUGAAGACCGGACACCUCUAAAGGUUACUAUUGAUCUAACCAGCAGUAUGGAAGACCGAGAUAGAGAGUUUCUAUCAUUCUACAAGUCACACAGAACUGAUUGGGAAUGUCCAAUGUCAAUUAACCUUAAAGUUAUAUGGCCAAUGAUGCAGGAUGAAGAUGAGGAUGUUCACGAGGUUCCUCUGGAAUUGAAAUGCCAGAUGUCAUCGUACCUCAGGAAGUACAUUGAAAAUGCUACAGCUUUGGAUCUCGAGCAGCUGGUUACAUUUUGGGUGGGGUGGGCAAUCCUUCCAGAACAUCUGUAUGUGGAGGUGACUGACUCUGUUAAAAUGCCCACUGCAUUCACAUGUAGUGAGAAUAUAAAACUGCCUUCUCACUAUACUAACUUUAUGGACUUUGAGGCAGACUUAAAAGCAGCAGUGUCUACUUUUGAGAGUGGAUUUGGGUUAGUUUAAUCGCAUGGUGUGCUCCAGGGCUUUUUAAAUGUAGAGGCUUGUCCUGUUAGACCAGGGGUUCUCCAGGACAGGUUUGAAAACCCCUGUAUUAGACUAUGUUCCCUGCCUUCAGGCUCUGUUUGAUCGGACUGUUUAGAGAGAG